rnacentral:rRNA from 1 species
UACGAAGGGGGCUAGCGUUGCUCGGAAUCACUGGGCGUAAAGCGCACGUAGGCGGACUCUUAAGUCGGUGGUGAAAUCCUGGAGCUCAACUCCAGAACUGCCUUCGAUACUGGGUAUCUUGAGUUCGGGAGAGGUGAGUGGAAUGCCGAGUGUAGAGGUGAAAUUCGUAGAUAUUCGGCGGAACACCAGUGGCGAAGGCGACUCACUGGCCCGAUACUGACGCUGAUGCGCGAAAGCGUGGGGAGCAAACAGG